GUCGAGCGGCAGCACGGGGAGCCUAGCUCCCUGGUGGCGAGCGGCGGACGGGUGAGUAACGCGUGGGAAUCUACCCCUCGGUGGGGGAUAGCCCGGGGAAACUCGGAUUAAUACCGCAUACGCCCUACGGGGGAAAGCGGGCCUCUGAUGCAAGCUCGCGCCGAGGGAUGAGCCCGCGUCCGAUUAGCUGGUUGGUGGGGUAAAGGCUCACCAAGGCGACGAUCGGUAGCUGGUCUGAGAGGAUGGUCAGCCACACUGGGACUGAGACACGGCCCAGACUCCUACGGGAGGCAGCAGUGGGGAAUAUUGGACAAUGGGCGAAAGCCUGAUCCAGCAAUGCCGCGUGUGUGAAGAAGGCCUGCGGGUUGUAAAGCACUUUCAUCGGGGAGGAAAAGCGUCGGGUGAAUAGCCCGGCGUCUUGACGUUACCCGAAGAAGAAGCGCCGGCAAACUUCGUGCCAGCAGCCGCGGUAAUACGAAGGGCGCAAGCGUUAAUCGGAAUCACUGGGCGUAAAGGGCACGCAGGCGGCCAGGUAAGUCGGGUGUGAAAGCCCUGGGCUCAACCCAGGAAUGGCAUCCGAUACUGCUUGGCUAGAGUCCGGUAGAGGGCAGUGGAAUUCCCGGUGUAGCGGUGAAAUGCGUAGAUAUCGGGAAGAACACCAGUGGCGAAGGCGACUGCCUGGACCGAGACCGACGCUCAGGUGCGAAAGCGUGGGGAGCAAAGAGGAUUAGAUACCCUCGUAGUCCACGCCGUAAACGUUGAGGACUAGCCGUUGGCCCCAUUGAUGGGGUUAGUGGCGCAGCUAACGCGUUAAGUCCUCCGCCUGGGGAGUACGGCCGCAAGGCUAAAGCUCAAAGGAAUUGACGGGGGCCCGCACAAGCGGUGGAGCAUGUGGUUUA
rnacentral:rRNA from 1 species